AUGAGCUCCGAGUCCAGGGAGCUGCUCGGAAUCGACCCCAACGAGCUCCGCUUCGCCUUCGAGCUAAAGAAGCAGAUCUCGUGUUCACUGCAUCUGACAAACAGGACAGACCAAUACAUCGCCUUCAAGGUUAAGACAACGAGCCCAAAGAAGUACUGUGUCCGGCCAAACAACGGCAUUGUGGCGCCGCGAUCCACAUUUGAUGUUCUCGUAACCAUGCAAGCACAGCGGGAGGCGCCGCCGGAUAUGCAAUGCAGGGACAAGUUCCUUGUGCAGAGUGCCGUGGUCAGCCAGGACAUUUCACCAAAGGAUAUCAACGGAGACAUGUUCACCAAAGAAUCGGGCAAUGUGGUGGACGAGGUGAAGCUGCAGGUUGUUUAUGCUCCACCGUCGAAACCGACGUCCGUAAAUGAGGGUUCUGAUCAGGAAAGUCUGGGCAGUUGGAGUUAUCAAGAGACAACAAGAGAACUUGCAGAACCAGAAACAAUACCGUCUGACCCCUUGGCAUUAAUUUUGAAGUUGAUGAAGGAGGAGAAGAAUUUUGCUGUUCAAGAGAACAAUAAGCUUCGAGAGGAACUGCGUCUCCUAAGACGGGAAAUCAGCAGGCAGAACGUUGGUUUCUCGCUACUUUUCGUGCUCGUGGCGGCUAUUCUAGGCAUCCUACUAGGCUUCUUCAUGAAGAGAUGA
rnacentral:rRNA from 1 species